UACAGAGGGGGCAAGCGUUGUUCGGAAUUACUGGGCGUAAAGGGCGCGUAGGCGGCCUGCUAAGUCGAACGUGAAAUCCCCGAGCUCAACUCGGGAACUGCGUCCGAUACUGGCAGGCUUGAAUCCGGGAGAGGGAUGCGGAAUUCCAGGUGUAGCGGUGAAAUGCGUAGAUAUCGGGAGGAACAUCAGUGGCGAAGGCGGGUCUCUGGACAGUUCCUGACGCUGAGGCACGAAGGCCAGGGGAGCAAACGGG
rnacentral:rRNA from 1 species